UUUCGUGUCGGGCGUAGAUAAUGGGGUCGCGACUUCUUCUUCUGGGGCGUAUCCGUUCCCCAGUGCUCUCCGACUCGCAUUGGGGGCUCGGCGUGCGCCUCGAGCGGCUUCUUGAACGGGAACGGGUGGGGCUCCGCUCUGGGGAGCGUUGGUCGCGCUCUCUUUCUGCUAACCUGCGCUCUAAGUCCUGCAUUCUGUGGCGUAGUUCUUGCAUUAUCCUGGCGUGGUUGUCACCCGUCCCCCUGAAGGGGCGUCUCUCGUGAGUCUGCGUCGCAUCCCUCGGGGGCGACCGUUGCUGCUGCCGGGAUUCCGUCGCGACGGCGCCUCCCCCGAGUAUGGGAGGCGCUACCUCGGAACCAGUCCCAGUCUGGACCAGCACGAAAUCCAUGAACGGUCCCCACAGACGGCGCCAAUGUUUGGUAAAUCGGGUACCGUACGAUUCGGGUUAGGACCCUGAGGACAACGCUUCGGAUGGUGGAGGAGCUCGUCUGGUCGUGGUUUCCUGGUUCCGGGUGAGCGAGGUCCCGAGCACUUCUGAUGGAGAAGGGGGAUGCCACCUGCAAAGACACUCCGACGCCCUUGUCAGAAUAUGUGCAGGCGGAGAGGAAAUGAUGUGUGAAUGUGACGUACCUUGGGGGGAGAGCCAGUCUCCCCCUUAUAUACAUAUCAGUAGUGGGCCCUUCCAAUGGGCAGGCCCAUACCCUCAAAGGUGUUGUCCCACGGCUGUGUGCGAGCCGUACGGGACGCGUGUCCGGGUCGGGUGGAGGACGCACCACUGGGCCGGCGAGAACUCGGGUCGGGUUGACCCGCGCGAGUUUUGGGCCAGGCUGUAACAAUAUUUAACAAGGAGCAAAUCAUUUUUAAAAAAAUAUAUAUAUUCGUAAUUAUUUCUUUAUCUACUUUUCAUAAUUUGUAUCUUAAUCAUUUUUGUGUCAUGUCAAAUCUUUAUUAAUAAUUUUGUUUUAUCCGGUUUCUUUUUUUUUUAUGUUUUGUGAUUUUUCGUCAUUUUUUAUGCGAAUUAACAUUAGAAAAAAGAAUUGAAAAAAAUGUGAACAUUACUUAAACUUUAGGAUACAUCAAAUUUAUUAAUAUAAAAAACUCAGAAAUAAAUAAAGAAAUUAAUUCCUGAUUUUCUUUUUCUUCAACAUUUAACCAUUCUUUUUACUUGUGAUAAAUACUAAAAAAAAAAUAAGUGCUUCUUAAGAAUUCGAAUACUAAAAGUUUUUAUGAUCAUUAGUAAUUAUUUCUUCAUAAUGAUCCACUAUAAUCUCUUUCUUUUUUAGAAAAAAAUUAAAUAUCUUUUAUUUUUGUGUUCUUUUAAUUUUUUCUCAGGUAUAAGAAGAACAACAGUGUUAUCAGUAGCAAAGAGUAAAAAUCCAAAGGCCACAACCCAGUCUUUCCAGCUAUCCCCCAGCGAACAAAAAAAAGGGAAGCAAAUGUGACAACAACGUACGUACUUCACCUCCUUCGUCUUUCUCUGUUUGCUUUCACCUCGCUCAACCUGCAAACUCUACCACGGGACUUUUGCACGUUCAAAAUCUCAUAUCCUCCUACAAGUUACCAACCUGUCCUCAUCUGCGGUGGCUCACAGUGCUUUCAGUCGGUGCGGCACACCAGUGUUGCUCGGUAAAUCGGCGGAUAAUUCAUUAUCUUCAUGUUUUGACAGAUCGAGCCACUAAACUUCAGCCAAGUAACAAGGGGGGUGCUGUUAAGAAAUAGACAAGUUCUUUUCUCCGUUCUUGGAUCUUUAUACAAAGUGUCUCUAUCUGAUAAGGCUGAAUUCUGAUGGAUGCUAAUAGAGAAGAUCCAAACAGGAGGUUUUUAGCAACCCAGCAAUACUGGCCCAACGAAAAAGAACUGGUUUUUAGAUUUCGCGUUUUCAAUAAACAGGGUGACAGAGCUCUUCCCCAAAUUUUGUUUCAACUCAUGGAGAAUGAUUGGGGCCAAUGUUCUAUGUUAUUGACGAGUUAGAUAAUUGUUUAGUGCUGGAGGUGAUAAGAAAGAAUGAUCAGUUGCUCAUAACUGACUCCUCAUUUGAACAGAUUAGAACUUUCUAUUUUAUCGAUAGAGGGGCAUCUGUUCAAUUUAGGUAUGUCGGUUUUGGUAUUUUUUUUAUUUCAUUGUGGGAUAAGGAUAACUAACCCAUCCGAGUUCACCUUGAUCCUGACUUCUAUGUUCCUGAGCUAAUGGACCCAGAGACAAUUGAUAAUGUAUCAAGAGUGUUCCACAUAAAGUACACCAGGAUGAAUGAGGACUCAUCAGCUGAUGUGAUUGUUCUCUCUGGAU